GGACCAGUAACCUAACCCAUUUUAUGUUCCAGGAAGAGCAGGAGCAAGACUGAAGCAUUAUGAGUUCUUUGUCUUUGCCAUAGCUGUGGUGAAACAUCUUGAUGAAACUCCCAGUCAAAGCAGAAGCAGAGGAAGAUUCGACUUUCCAAACAGUGCUUGUCCCAGACACAGAAGCAGACUACAACUCUGAAAGAGCCGUUCCAGAUUUUGGUGCACCCCCAUUCCCCUGCUUGCUCCUCCUGCCUUACGGGUGCUCGCUCAGUGCGGAGAGGCUUCGCAGGGACUCACUGGAGAGGCUGCGCACCCCCUGACAGUUUCUCAAAGACAGGAGAUGGUAGGGCUGUGCUGUAAAAGUCAUCAUGGACAGUGUUAUGGAAGAGGACAACUCGGAGAGGGCGCCUUCCCUAUGGACUGCAACAGAGCAGACAUGCAUGCAGACUGUGAGAGGAAAACCCCUUUUCACACCAGCUCUGACCUGUGAGGACACUUUCUUGGAGAGACUGACUGUGAGCUUCUCAGAGUAACGGUGAGG